GAUGAACGCUGGCGGCGUGCUUAACACAUGCAAGUCGAACGAGAAGUGGAGACGGAAACCUUCGGGCGGAAGACUUUAUUUCGAGUGGCGGACGGGUGAGUAACGCGUGGGUAACCUGCCUCAUACAGGGGGAUAACAGUUGGAAACGACUGUUAAUACCGCAUAAGACCACAGCACCGCAUGGUGCGGGGGUAAAAACUCCGGUGGUAUGAGAUGGACCCGCGUUCGAUUAGCCAGUUGGCGGGGUAACGGCCCACCAAAGCGACGAUCGAUAGCCGAUCUGAGAGGAUGACCGGCCACAUUGGGACUGAGACACGGCCCAAACUCCUACGGGAGGCAGCAGUGGGGAAUAUUGCACAAUGGGGGAAACCCUGAUGCAGCGACGCCGCGUGAGUGGAGAAGUAUUUCGGUAUGUAAAGCUCUAUCAGCAGGGAAGAAAAUGACGGUACCUGAGUAAGAAGCCCCGGCUAACUACGUG
rnacentral:rRNA from 1 species